AGAGUUGAGAGCACUGGACUCGAGUCUAACAGAUUGGAUUUGAACACUGGCUCCACCACUUACAAUUUGGGGAGCCUGGGCCAAAUUCUCCAGGAAACGGAAGGCUUGGUGGCAGAAGUGGCAGCUGGCAGGGCAGAGGGACACCCAGAUCGGGCAGGAGCUGCAGCACUGGGAGAAGGAAGGACUAUGAGCUCAUCAAGUGUCAGGGCCUGUUUGAUGAAUACCCAGGGAUGGAGGAGCAGUCGCUCAGCAGCGUGUGCCCUGGGCAUGAGUGGGGCCCCUGGGGGCCUGGCACAACAGGGGAGGUGGCCCCGGGCCUGACACUCCCUGCCUGCCAGAGCUGCAGUUUGGGUUCAUCACCAUCUUUGUGGGAGCCUUCCUGCUGGCACCCCUGUUCACUCUGCUCAACAACCGGGUAGAGAUUGGACUGGACGCCCACAAGUUCCUGUGCAAGUACCAGCGACCAAUGGCUGGGCGCGGCUGGACAUCUGGAUCUGACUGCUCCUGCUGGAGGCCAUGGUACACCUUGAGGUCACCGUGAAUGGGAGUGAGGCUUUCGUCUCGCCUUCAUCUCGGACUUCUGCCGCAUAUCCCGUAACAGUACGAACACCACACCCAGCUGCACGGAUUUGUGAAUUUCACGCGGGCACCCGCGCCCCAUGCCCACCUGGCCCAGAGCAAACACACUCUGCCCUUCAGGCUGG
rnacentral:lncRNA from 1 species